rnacentral:piRNA from 1 species
UCNCAAGACCUCUUGUCAGGCAGGGAAGG